rnacentral:rRNA from 2 species
GCUCAGAUUGAACGCUGGCGGCAGGCCUAACACAUGCAAGUCGAGCGGUAGAGAGAAGCUUGCUUCUCUUGAGAGCGGCGGACGGGUGAGUAAUGCCUAGGAAUCUGCCUGGUAGUGGGGGAUAACGUUCGGAAACGGACGCUAAUACCGCAUACGUCCUACGGGAGAAAGCAGGGGACCUUCGGGCCUUGCGCUAUCAGAUGAGCCUAGGUCGGAUUAGCUAGUUGGUGAGGUAAUGGCUCACCAAGGCGACGAUCCGUAACUGGUCUGAGAGGAUGAUCAGUCACACUGGAACUGAGACACGGUCCAGACUCCUACGGGAGGCAGCAGUGGGGAAUAUUGGACAAUGGGCGAAAGCCUGAUCCAGCCAUGCCGCGUGUGUGAAGAAGGUCUUCGGAUUGUAAA